CUACGGGCCGCACCAGUGGGGAAUAUUGCACAAUGGGCGCAAGCCUGAUGCAGCCAUGCCGCGUGUAUGAAGAAGGCCUUCGGGUUGUAAAGUACUUUCAGCGGGGAGGAAGGGAGUAAAGUUAAUACCUUUGCUCAUUGACGUUACCCGCAGAAGAAGCACCGGCUAACUCCGUGCCAGCAGCCGCGGUAAUACGGAGGGUGCAAGCGGUAAUCGGAAUUACUGGGCGUAAAGCGCACGCAGGCGGUUUGUUAAGUCAGAUGUGAAAUCCCCGGGCUCAACCUGGGAACUGCAUCUGAUACUGGCAAGCUAGAGUCUCGUAGAGGGGGGUAGAAUUCCAGGUGUAGCGGUGAAAUGCGUAGAGAUCUGGAGGAAUACCGGUGGCGAAGGCGGCCCCCUGGACGAAGACUGACGCUCAGGUGCGAAAGCGUGGGGAGCAAACAGGAUUAGAUACCCCAGUAGUC
rnacentral:rRNA from 1 species